CCCUUAGAUGUUCUGGGCCGCACGCGUGCUACACUGAGUGGAUCAGCGGGUCAGGUUGCGCGAAAGUGUUUCCUAAUCUUGAAAUCCGCUCGUGAUGGGGAUUGACGGUUGCAAUUUUCCGUCAUGAACGAGGAAUACCUUGUAAGCGCGGGUCAUCAUCCCGCGCUGAAUACGUCCCUGCCCUUUGUACACACCGCCCGUCGCUCCUACCGAUUGAGUGGUCCGGUGAGGCUUUGGGAUCUGAGCAAAAAGAGCGUUUCGCUCGUUUGACUCGGAAAACUCAGUCGAACCUUAUCAUUUAGAGGAAGGAGAAGUCGUAACA
rnacentral:rRNA from 1 species